AAGUGCAUCGCCUUUGCGCAUGUGUUCGCUAGCGUGCGUUUGGUAGUAGCGGUGACUUGUCACUUGUUGCUGCUAUAGCGUACGUGUUGUGGGCGCGUGCUUGCGUGUGCAUCUUCGGCGUGACCGUCAACCACCUAUCCGACCCGUCUUGAAACACGGACCAAGAAGUGUAGUAUUUGCGCGAGUCAUUGGGUGCAAAACCUAAAGGCGAAAUGAAAGUAAAGGUGGCCUUGUGCUGCUGAUAUGUGAUCCGUGUGUUUUCGAAUGCGCGGCGCAACAUAGCCCCAUGCCGGCUGCUUGCAGCGGUGUGGCGGUAGAGCGUAAAUACUGCGACCCGAAAGAUGGUGAACUAUGCCUGAGCAGGAUGAAGCCAGAGGAAACUCUGGUGGAAGUCCGAAGCGGUUCUGACGUGCAAAUCGAUCGUCUGACUU
rnacentral:rRNA from 1 species